rnacentral:rRNA from 1 species
GUGUGACUGCGUACCUUUUGUAUAAUGGGUCAGCGACUUAUAUUCUGUAGCAAGGUUAACCGAAUAGGGGAGCCGAAGGGAAACCGAGUCUUAACUGGGCGUUAAGUUGCAGGGUAUAGACCCGAAACCCGGUGAUCUAGCCAUGGGCAGGUUGAAGGUUGGGUAACACUAACUGGAGGACCGAACCGACUAAUGUUGAAAAAUUAGCGGAUGACUUGUGGCUGGGGGUGAAAGGCCAAUCAAACCGGGAGAUAGCUGGUUCUCCCCGAAAGCUAUUUAGGUAGCGCCUCGUGAAUUCAUCUCCGGGGGUAGAGCACUGUUUCGGCAAGGGGGUCAUCCCGACUUACCAACCCGAUGCAAACUGCGAAUACCGGAGAAUGUUAUCACGGGAGACACACGGCGGGUGCUAACGUCCGUCGUGAAGAGGGAAACAACCCAGACCGCCAGCUAAGGUCCCAAAGUCAUGGUUAAGUGGGAAACGAUGUGGGAAGGCCCAGACAGCCAGGAUGUUGGCUUAGAAGCAGCCAUCAUUUAAAGAAAGCGUAAUAGCUCACUGGUCGAGUCGGCCUGCGCGGAAGAUGUAACGGGGCUAAACCAUGCACCGAAGCUGCGGCAGCGACACUAUGUGUUGUUGGGUAGGGGAGCGUUCUGUAAGCCUGUGAAGGUGUGCUGUGAGGCAUGCUGGAGGUAUCAGAAGUGCGAAUGCUGACAUAAGUAACGAUAAAGCGGGUGAAAAGCCCGCUCGCCGGAAGACCAAGGGUUCCUGUCCAACGUUAAUCGGGGCAGGGUGAGUCGACCCCUAAGGCGAGGCCGAAAGGCGUAGUCGAUGGGAAACAGGUUAAUAUUCCUGUACUUGGUGUUACUGCGAAGGGGGGACGGAGAAGGCUAUGUUGGCCGGGCGACGGUUGUCCCGGUUUAAGCGUGUAGGCUGGUUUUCCAGGCAAAUCCGGAAAAUCAAGGCUGAGGCGUGAUGACGAGGCACUACGGUGCUGAAGCAACAAAUGCCCUGCUUCCAGGAAAAGCCUCUAAGCAUCAGGUAACAUCAAAUCGUACCCCAAACCGACACAGGUGGUCAGGUAGAGAAUACCAAGGCGCUUGAGAGAACUCGGGUGAAGGAACUAGGCAAAAUGGUGCCGUAACUUCGGGAGAAGGCACGCUGAUAUGUAGGUGAAGUCCCUCGCGGAUGGAGCUGAAAUCAGUCGAAGAUACCAGCUGGCUGCAACUGUUUAUUAAAAACACAGCACUGUGCAAACACGAAAGUGGACGUAUACGGUGUGACGCCUGCCCGGUGCCGGAAGGUUAAUUGAUGGGGU